GACACCGGCGGAAACUGUUCAAUUUAUUUAUUUUUGUAAUUAAAAUUUCACCUAUUUUAUUUUCGUAAUUAUUUAUGUUUCAUAUUAUUUAUAUAAAAAAGUCAGGAAAUUGGCAACAAUAGGUCAACUAUGGGGAUGCUGAAUCUUGUUCUUCAAAUAUAGUACGAAGCAUUUAGGAUUUUUCUUAAAUCAAUUAUGGUAAAAGAUUCAUUGUAUCAUGUCAUAAUCACCAUCUUUUAAUCAGAUUUAUAAUGUUUUCG
rnacentral:lncRNA from 1 species